GCCCGGGUGGCGGAAUUGGUAGACGCGCUAGAUUCAGGUUCUAGUGGGCAUACGCCUGUAGGAGUUCGAGUCUCCUCCCGGGCA
rnacentral:tRNA from 2 species